ACCUGGUUGUGGCAUACGGUCCUGUUGCUAACGUCUCCCACCUGGGGCCUCCACUGUCGCUGCUGAUACCCUUCACACCUUUGCUCGCCACCUUGAUCUACCCCUUCUCCAAGGCAGGCUUCCUUGGGGCAUCUGAGGGCCUCUCGGAUGCUCUCGCGAAAGUGUGCGAGAUUUUCAAUGGCGAAGCAUGCUCAUUGACCAUCACUAUAACGCUCUUCAGCAGCCCGUAUCAGCUGAACGAGACACGACUGCCAGUGUACAUAGGCCACUAUCCCAUCGGAACGACAAUACAAAACUUCAUGCAUU